rnacentral:rRNA from 1 species
GACGAACGCUGGCGGCGUGCUUAACACAUGCAAGUCGAACGGAAAGGCCCUGCUUUUGUGGGGUGCUCGAGUGGCGAAGGGGUGAGUAACACGUGAGUAACCUGCCCUUGACUUUGGGGUAACUUCAGGAAACUGGGGCUCAUAUCGGAUAGGAGCUCCUGCUGCAUGGUGGGGGUUGGUAAGUUUCGGCGGUUGGGGAUGGACUCGCGGGUUAUCAGCUUGUUGGUGGGGUAGUGGCUUACCAAGGCUUUGACGGGUAGCCGGCCUGAGAGGGUGACCAGGCACAUGGGGACUGAGGUACGGCCCAGACUCCAACGUGAGGCAGCAGUGGAGAAUAUUGCACAAUGGGCGGAAGCCAGAUGCAGCAACGCCGCGAGCGUGAUGACGGCCUUCGGGUUGUAAACCGCUGUCGCCUGUGACGAAGCGUGAGUGACGGUAAUGGGUAAAGAAGCACCGGCUAACUACGUG